AAGAUCAUUCUGGACACUCGCUUUUUAAACACUUUGGUGUAUUAUGUUAACUUCAGGCACACAGGAUUUUUAGAGUCCUUUCAUAAUGUAAUUUUGAUGUAUGCUCCAAAGCGCCAUGCCUAUUCGUAAGUAUAUGACAUAUUAUUACAAAGGUAACAGCUAAUAAAACUCCUAUCAUGAUAAAACUCUUAUAGAAACCAGCUUGCCUCCUUGGACUUUAACCACCACAGAGGCCGAGCACCAGCAACUACAGCUGAUGGGAAAGAAAGGUACGGUCGGAAGUUCAGUAAGCGUACACAACAGUGGUGC